CUUAUCGCAUUCCCAUUCAUUUUCGAUCACCUCAACCGCUAAAAUCGAAUAGAUUUUGUUGGAGGAGUUCUGUUGGAAUGUGUCUCUGAGCCGUCAGUAACGUUACGUCACACGUCCGAGUGUAAAUUAAAACUUUUUCAUAUUGUUAAAAUCAACGCUAUGAAGUGGUGAUAUAUUCAGCAAUUCCAAAACGUUUGAAAUGUCAUUUCUUACAGAUAUUUCUGCAUUUUUUAUACUUCCAAACUAAACCGUAUAGAUGCCGUUAGAGCAUGCAUUGCUGAAUAAUUUCCAUUUAUAGCGCAUAUUGUUGGUUAAAAUGAGUCAUACUACCUGUACAUUCUUUGCAUAGACUCUUUGCAAUACUCACAUUCAAAGGUGAUAUAUAGAGUUCAACAUUCUACAACUUUCCAGAUUCUCUAGAAUUUCAUUCAAAAAUUGCACCGUGUUCCCAUUCAAAUGAACUAAACACAACAACUAAAUUCCGUAUUUGCUUUUUGUACGUCUUUUCUUGAAGUCGAAACAGCAUCUAAUGAUUCAAAAUGAAAAACUUUUUUGGAAUAUUGUCCCAUUUCAAGUCUAUAUUCAAUGUGCGUAAUUACUAGGUGCAUAUGACCACACAAUGCGAAUACCGGGGGCAGAAAAUGUAAGUCUUCUCUUCUUCGUUAUGUUACACAAAAUAUUAUUUAAAGAAAAUCCUGGCCAAAAAGCUAAAGUAGAACGAAAAAACAACAAAAAUACUCGGGUGCGCUGUCAUCUCUGUCAUCUCUGUUUUAAGUGAAAUGAUUUUGUUAUACAUUUUCGAUAAGCCACAAGCGAUGGAAAUAUCAGCAGGAUUUCUCCAAUUCUUUCCUAUCCAUAAAGUCAGUUAUGUUUGUUACGAUAAAUAAAGUCCAAAUAGUGCGAAUGCAAGUGGUAUGCAUAAAAAGAUUAUGCCUGAAAGCAAUAAUUUCAAAUGAUUAGUUCCAAGAUUUUUCUUUGGAAAACUAUUCGAGAGCGUACCCAUCAUUUUGGCGUUAAAUAUACGCAUAUAUUUUUCAGAUGCGCUGUGUGGUUUAAAACAUAGGCUGAAUAGUUCGAGUGUUCCCAUGGACUGAUUUCGAUAUUCAUUUUUUAAAGGCAACGAUUGAUUUGCUUUGAAGCCAUAUGAAUGGCCCAUUAUGGUCGUCAAAUUAUCACCAUGAUAAAACAUCUCCAUAGAUUUGUUGUUUUUAAUGUCCAAAAUUGCGGAAAAAUUCAAAGCGAUUUCAUUCAAUGUAUAAUUUUUCUCGCGAUGAUUUAAUGUAAAAGAUAGCUUCAUAUAGCUGUCAGUAUGAUUUGUAUCCAUCCAAUUGAUUGAAAUAGGGUCGGUGGCAUUGCCACAGCUUCCGGAUACAACGUUGGAAUCAUACAGCGGUAAAUCAUAUGAUGCACUGAUGUUUUCCACUAAAAGAAAUGUUUCUCGGAUAAAUUUUUCUUAAUAUUUAUAAAUAUUUAUAGUACGUAAAAUAGAUGGUCACCUUUGUCAGAAAUACACAAUCGAGCAGUGAAAUUAAUUGAAAUGCAGUCCUCCCAUUGCAGCGCCGUAGCCAGGCCAGCGCAAUGGGUGCAUUGCACCCUCCAAAAAUUUCAAAGGUGCAACAAAAUCGGGUGCAAAGUCGGGUGCAAAAUCGGGUUUCAAAGGUGCAACAAAAGAAAAAUUUCGAUUUUGCACCCUCCAAUUUUUUUUUCUGGCUACGGCGCUGUCCCAUUGCAUGGCAUUUGUAGCUACUAUUAUACAAAUUUUAUUGAAAAAUAACGAUCAACGGGCUUCAUUUACUGAUUGUAGUAUUUUCCGGUAUUUUAAAUGAGAAACUACUUACCAAAACAACUGAAUAUACAGAGAAUGAAUUGCUGUAAUAUGUUUUUCAUUUUGAAAAGCAAAAAGCAAAUACUUCACUUGUUGCCUUUUACCCGUCCACACUUGCAGCUGAAUUCAAUGUUAUCAGAUGAAAAAAUUAAUUUUUAAAUGAUUUUCAUGCCAAGAUUGUGAGUGCUACGAAAUCCGCCAUAAUGACGUAGCAAGACUUGAUAUGGGCCAAUUCGUAACCAUUGAAAUAUUCAGAAACUAAAAAUGUGCCACAAAAUGUGUUAAAUAAUGAAAUGAAGAAAAAAUCUACUUUUUCUUUUUACUUCGAUUGCAAUUAAAUCAUUUUUUCAUUUCUCACACAUGAAAUGUACAGACAAGUUCGUGUUAGUGAAUCCUAAGAUAACAAAUGAGAAAUAACAAAUUCGUUUUUGUUUUUGUUACUAUUUUGAUAAUAUAUUUUGUGCUACAUCAAGGGAUUGUAAAUGUUCGGUGCGAAUACUGAGCUUCCUUUUGGCAUCAAAUAGUCGUUAUUGUAUAUAAUACGUUGUUGAUUGUAGUGGUAUGGAAUAAGUACAUUAUACAUGCAUGAUAUAGAGAUAUAAAUCGUAUUCACUUAAUGGUUAAAUGCAGUUAAAAUGAAUAUGAAAAAUUGGAAUAUUGAUAAAAAUUCAAAUUGGUGUGUAUCCUUUGCAGCAGCGUCUAAGACAACGACAAAUGCAUAAUAAACCAAUCAAAACAGGUGCAAGUACUACGGAUCCAAUGAUGCUCGAAACAAUGACUGGAAAAAAGUAAUCAAACAAAUUAGUUUGUGCUAGUACUAGAAGAAAAAUCAAGGGUUUGAAGCAUACUUAUGGUUUUAGCAUUGUAGUCGCAAAAUAGUUGAUCUUCACAUAAGCUAUGUGCUUCAAAGCAUAGGCUAAAUAGUUCGAGUGUGCCCAUGCCCAUAGAACGAUUUCCAUAUUCAUUUGUCAACGGUAGUGAAUAGUUUGCUUUGGGGCAAUAUGAACGGCCCAUUGGGCUUUUCAAAAUGUCACCACGAUAAAAUAGGUUCAAUGUUCUAUUGUCAUUAUGGAACAACAUUGCAGCCGAAAGGUAGAAAGCAAUUUCGCUCAAUUUAUAAACUUUUUUUGAACGAUCAAAUGAAAACGACAAUUUCAUGCCACCGCUUUUGUUCUUAUCCACCCAAUUGACAACAAUCGCGUCCAUGUGGUAGCCACAGCUGCCGAAUACCACCUUGGAAUCAUUCAGAGGUAAAUCAUAUGCGUAAUAUUCUGUAUUGACAUUUUCCCCUGGGAAUUUUCAAAUCGAAUCCAUGAA